rnacentral:rRNA from 1 species
UCGGAACGUGCCCAGUAGUGGGGGAUAACUACUCGAAAGAGUGGCUAAUACCGCAUGAGAACUGAGGUUGAAAGCGGGGGACCUUCGGGCCUCGCGCUACUGGAGCGGCCGAUAUCAGAUUAGGUAGUUGGUGGGGUAAAGGCCUACCAAGCCGACGAUCUGUAGCUGGUCUGAGAGGACGACCAGCCACACUGGGACUGAGACACGGCCCAGACUCCUACGGGAGGCAGCAGUGGGGAAUUUUGGACAAUGGACGCAAGUCUGAUCCAGCAAUGCCGCGUGCAGGAACCGAAGGCCUUCGGGUUGUAAACUGCUUUUGUACAGAACGAAAAGGCUCUGGUUAAUACCUGGGGCUCAUGUACGGUACUGUAAGAAUAAGCACCGGCUAACUACGUGCCAGCAGCAGC